rnacentral:lncRNA from 1 species
UUUAUUUAUAACUGCUUGUUGAAUGAAUGAAUAGGCAUUACUCAAUAAAUUAUAUGAAAAUUGAGGUGUAUGAGGUGUUCAGAGAGGACUAGCACCUCCAGUAUUUUCAGGGCUGCUCAUCUACUUUUGUUAUCUAGCUGUCAAUCAGCUCUCACCUGAGACUCCAAGAAGCUUUAGAACAAGAAGCAGCCAUGCUCCAGUAAAGCUGUCUCAGCAGAUGAAUGGCUAAAAGGCAUUGAGCAUCAUUGAUAGACCUCAGUGAAUUAUGGGGAGAUGUCUAUUCCAAGCCAUGAAGGUGAUUGAGAAUGGUGCAGUGGAGUACCUAGACCUUGGUUAAACAUUGAAGACACCAUGGUCAUUCCCUGCAUCCUGCGCAAUUGCCAGUCAUCCUGACUUUUUCCUUGCCACUGGACUUCCAUGAUUCUGGAUAGAGAGUGAGGCUGGUGACUUUGUAUAGCUCUUCCUCAUUUAGAUCCAAUUCACUCACAAUCAAGAGUCAUCCUUGAUAUGGUCCUCUUCAAAAGAAAAGAUGAAUAACAACAAAAAAUUAGUCUCCUAAACACAACUAAAUAUCCCCAUCCUUUCCCAGAAUGUGCCCUGACUUCUUUUUAAUUAUUCCUAAAACUCUCAGAAAAAAAUUAAAUCCAAAUCUUGAGAACAUGGUGUGAAUUUUAGUUUUAUUCCACCCUGCUUAGUCUUUAGAAUUCUAGCAAACAGGAAUGUAUACACCCCCUCUUAAGGAUUGGGUGUGGGGAAGAAAGGCCUAUGACUGGUAUAUGCUAGCAAGUGGCAAAUCAGAAACAACUGACUGACCCCCUGAGCUAUCCCAAGCCAAGCUUAAGUCACAAUUGGUACAUGUGAGACACAGGAAGUGAUGUAAAGAACUGCCUUUAUAUUUUGUGUCACUUCCUGUGAGAGGAACCCUUUGGUGGACUUGACCCUGGAACUUGAGCCUGGAGGAACUCAACAUGAGGCCUCAGAUUGCUUUCCUUUUAGACAGUCACGUGAAUUCUUCAAGUCAAAUCUAGAAGACCUUCUAUCGAGUCCAGUUAUGGAGAUUCAGAAGUCAACA